AAAAAUCGGGUCUGUGGUUGCAAGCCGAUGCCAGUCGCAGGCGAAGCGGUCCACGUAAGCCGGGAAAAUCCCGGUGAGCAUGGUGCGGUCUAGAGGUAAGCCCGGCCGCGCGGAAAGCGCGAGAGAACGGCGUGAGGGCGCGAAGGCGCAGAGCAAAGUUCCAGCCGGCGAGUGUGGGGUCAAAGACCAGGUCAGCCGACGUUU
rnacentral:ncRNA from 12 species